UGGACCCCUAGAACCAAGCGCAAAGCCAGAAAGCAAAAUCGUUUGGUUAAGAGACCAUUUCUGUGGAUACACACUCACAGAGGACCCUUACCAGUUCUGCCAGUGUUCAGAAACCUAAAGGAUGUCUAUCUACAUAAUAAAUACACUGGAAGUCUGAAGAUGGACAGUAGAACCAAAUGUUUACCGAGCAAGUCACUGUAUUAGAAAAAACAAAUGAACAAACAGUGUCAUGAAUAAAGACCUUGAUGUUGAUGUGUUUUCUCCAACA